rnacentral:rRNA from 1 species
GACGAACGCUGGCGGCGUGCUUAACACAUGCAAGUCGAGCGGUAAGGCCCUUUCGGGGUACGACGAGCGGCGAACGGGUGAGUAACACGUGGGUGACCUGCCCUCAGCUCUGGGAUAAGCCUGGGAAACCGGGUCUAAUACUGGAUAUGACUCCAUGACGCAUGUUGUGGGGUGGAAAGCCUUGUGCGGCUGAGGAUGGGCCCGCGGCCUAUCAGCUUGUUGGUGGGGUGAGGCCUACCAAGGCGACGACGGGUAGCCGGCCUGAGAGGGCGACCGGCCACACUGGGACUGAGACACAGCCCAGACUCCUACGGGAGGCAGCAGUAGGGGAAUCUUGCGCAAUGGGCGAAAGCCUGACGCAGCGACGCCGCGUGCGGGAAGAAGGCCUUAGGGUUGUAAACCGC